CCUGCAGCCCCCAAGGUCAGUGCAGCAGGAGGGCAGGAAGUGCUCCAGGCACGGAGCAGAAGUUCCCCGGCGGCCUGUGGAGAGGCCCCUGGUGGAGCAGGUUGUCCCCCCGCAGCUGACUGCAGCCCCUAUUCCUUAUUCCACUUCACUUUUGGGGGGAGGACAUAGACAAGAGGGAGAAUGGGGAGAAGGUGUUUUUAUUUUAUUUUGUUUGUUUGUUUUUGUUUUGUUAUUUCUCACUGCUCUAGCUUGUUAGUAAUAGAUAAUGAAUUUUAUUAAUUUCCCUAUGCUAAGUCUGUUUUGCCCAUGAUUAUAAUUGAGCCCCUUCCAUCUUAUUUUCUCCCCGUUUCCUUCUGAGGAGGGGGAGUGAGAGUGCUGUUGUGGUGGAGCUUAGCUGCCCAGCUGAACAAAACCACCACGACAGUCUGAGUACGAGAUACCUAGAAGUUUCAGUAUACGCCAAUGCAAAUGGGAGAGGCCUGAUGGGAAAGUGAAGAACAAGCCUUUGUUGAAGUGCAUGUUGCUUCUUCAGGCUGUUUCAGUCUGUUGACUUCAACAAAACCAAACAACUCAUUGCUCCGGUGUCUGGAGCACCUUCUGCCCUCCUCCUUCACUGACCUUGGUGUCUGCAGGGCUGGCUCUCGCUCCUCACUCUCCCAGCUGCUGUUGUGCAGCAUUUUUUUUUCCCCUCUUUCUUAAAUCUACUCUGACAAAGGUGCAAACAACAAAGCUUAUUGGCUUGGCCCUGGCCAUUGGCAGGUGUCUUUGGAGAUGGCUGAAACCGGCCUUUUUCUGGCAUGAGGCAGCUGCUGGCUCACAGAGACCAACCCUGCAGCCCCCUGCUGACAAAACCUUGCCAUGUAAACCCUGUACAUUGUCACAUCCAGUACUAAACCAGGAAUGCAUCCUUAGCAUACUUUCAAACAACUGUUGGUUUCUGAGUCGUCAUUUGUAACGUUAACAAUCAUUUUAACAGAAGGAAUUGCAUCUAACCUUUGCGUAAGCUAUCUGUGUCUUUUAUGCCAACAGAAAUAUGACAACCAUAAUAACUGGGAUGUAAUGUGGAUUAAAUUAACUAUUUAAAAUUAACUAUUUAAAAAGUCACGUUGAUGAUGGUAAAAACGUCUACUUUCUUCCUGAUUAAAUUUCCCAGUGCACUGCAUAUACAAAGAAGAUUGUUAGUUCCUAUCUACCGCUCAGUAGGUGCUAAACAUUCAUAUCCAAAUGCAGCAUUAUACCAUUAAUAAAACAGUAUGCAGACUGAAGGAAUCUAUAUGUAUAUUGUUGUCAUUUAAAUUUACAGUAUCCCCAAAUUAAUAAAUUUUUCAUAAGAGUGCAAACCUUUUGCAAAUAUCCUUCUUUUCUAGAGAAAAUUGUAAUCCAUCUUUAGAACCACAACCUUUUAGACGUAUUAGUCUAACCUCAGUCCCUGGAAAAAGUUAUUGAGAAGAUUGCCCUAGGGGAUAUUUAAAAGCAUUUAAAGAAUAAUGCUAUUAUCAGACAUUGUCAACAUGGGUUAAUGGAGGAAAAAUUCUGCUUUAUCAAUUUGAUCUCCUUCUAUGAUAAGAUCACCCACUUGAAGGAUUAAAGCCUCAAGUUGCACCAGGGGCUUUAGGUUGGGAAUUUGGAGACUUUUCUUCUCAGAAGGAGUGGUCAGGUGUUGGACCUGGUGUGUAGGGACAUGAUUUGGUGGGUGACAUUGGUAGUAGGGUGAUGGUUGGACCAGAUGAUCUUGAAGGUCUUUUCCAACCUUAAUUUUUCUAUGAUUCUAUACCUGGCUUGUCCCAUUUGGAGAAGAGGAGGGUGAGAGGUGGCCUUAUUGCUCUCUGCAGCCUGAGGAGAAGUGCAGAGGGAGGUGCUAAUCUCUGUUACCUGGUAACCAAUGACAGGAUGUGUUUGAAUGCCACAGAGCAGCAACAGAGUAGGUUCAGACUACAUAUAAGGAAAAAAUAAUUUUCAUUAUGAGGGUGGUCAAACACUGCAGCAGGCUUGCUAGACAUUUAAUUGAUGCCCCAUGACUGUCAAUGUUCAAGAGUUCUUUAGACAAUGCUCUCAAUAAUAUGCUUUAACUUAUGGUUAGCCCUGAAGAGGCCAGGAAGCUGGGCUAAAUGAUCUUUGAAAGUCCCUUCCAACUCUUCUCUGCCCUGCCUUGCCCUGCUGUGCCCUGCCCUGCUGUCCCCUCCCCUCCUUGUUUCAUCUAUUCAAUUCUAUUCAGCUCCUUUAGGAAGACUAGAUUACUUUUUCACCAUAAGCAUGAUGGACUCUGAUGUGAUGGAGAGACCAGAUUUACUUAAUUCUAUUUCUUACUACAGUAUUCACCCACAUUCUGAUAAAGGUGAUGUCUGAACUGAAACAGAUAUGCAAGUUUCAAAAAGCAGAAGUCUGAAACUAGGUGCUCAUUACAAGCAGAAAAUUGG